AGAGGUGAGGGUGAUCUGGUUGCAACAUCUGUCACCCCAUUGAUCACCAGGGUUGAUUCAGCUUAUCUUGCUGGCUAGGCAGGUGUCCCCUUUCUCCCUCACAGGUCCAUGUGUGUUCCUCCCACUUGGGAGCUGUGCACUUGGUCAAAGAGGACAACCACCCCUGAUAGAGAAGGAGCUGUCUUCACUCAAGGGUAUACGAAUGGCUGCACUCCCUGCUAGAACCUCCAAACAAGCUCUCAAAAUCCAUUUGUAGGAGAACAUAGGGUAGUAAAGCUUCCAAGACUCCAGACACAUCUGAAUGAGGCACUGCAUGUGGCAGUCGGCCUUUCUCU
ensembl:misc_RNA 7SK 7SK RNA